rnacentral:rRNA from 1 species
GUCGAGCGGAUGAAGGGAGCUUGCUCUCUGAUUCAGCGGCGGACGGGUGAGUAAUGCCUAGGAAUCUGCCUGGUAGUGGGGGACAACGUUUCGAAAGGAACGCUAAUACCGCAUACGUCCUACGGGAGAAAGCAGGGGACCUUCGGGCCUUGCGCUAUCAGAUGAGCCUAGGUCGGAUUAGCUAGUUGGUGAGGUAAUGGCUCACCAAGGCGACGAUCCGUAACUGGUCUGAGAGGAUGAUCAGUCACACUGGAACUGAGACACGGUCCAGACUCCUACGGGAGGCAGCAGUGGGGAAUAUUGGACAAUGGGCGAAAGCCUGAUCCAGCCAUGCCGCGUGUGUGAAGAAGGUCUUCGGAUUGUAAAGCACUUUAAGUUGGGAGGAAGGGUUGUAGAUUAAUACUCUGCAAUUUUGACGUUACCGACAGAAUAAGCACCGGCUAACUCUGUGCCAGCAGCCGCGGUAAUACAGAGGGUGCAAGCGUUAAUCGGAAUUACUGGGCGUAAAGCGCGCGUAGGUGGUUUGUUAAGUUGGAUGUGAAAGCCCCGGGCUCAACCUGGGAACUGCAUUCAAAACUGACAAGCUAGAGUAUGGUAGAGGGUGGUGGAAUUUCCUGUGUAGCGGUGAAAUGCGUAGAUAUAGGAAGGAACACCAGUGGCGAAGGCGACCACCUGGACUGAUACUGACACUGA